AAUAGAUACCCUGGUAGUCCACGCCGUAAACGAUGAGUGCUAAGUGUUAGAGGGUUUCCGCCCUUUAGUGCUGUAGCAAACGCAUUAAGCACUCCGCCUGGGGAGUACGGUCGCAAGACUGAAACUCAAAGGAAUUGACGGGGGCCCGCACAAGCGGUGGAGCAUGUGGUUUAAUUCGAAGCAACGCGAAGAACCUUACCAGGUCUUGACAUCCUCUGACAACCCUAGAGAUAGGGCUUCCCCUUCGGGGGCAGAGUGACAGGUGGUGCAUGGUUGUCGUCAGCUCGUGUCAUGAGAUGUUGGGUUAAGUCCCGCAACGAGCGCAACCCUUGAUCUUAGUUGCCAGCAUUCAGUUGGGCACUCUAAGGUGACUGCCGGUGACAAACCGGAGGAAGGUGGGGAUGACGUCAAAUCAUCAUGCCCCUUAUGACCUGGGCUACACACGUGCUACAAUGGGCAGAACAAAGGGCAGCGAAGCCGCGAGGCUAAGCCAAUCCCACAAAUCUGUUCUCAGUUCGGAUCG
rnacentral:rRNA from 1 species